rnacentral:rRNA from 1 species
UACGGAGGAUGCGAGCGUUAUCCGGGUUUAUUGGGUUUAAAGGGUGCGUAGGCGGAGUGCCAAGUCAGCGGUAAAAAUUCGGGGCUCAACCCCGUCCGGCCGUUGAAACUGGGGGUCUUGAGUGGGCGAGAAGAAGGCGGAAUGCGUGGUGUAGCGGUGAAAUGCAUAGAUAUCACGCAGAACCCCGAUUGCGAAGGCAGCCUUCCGGCGCCCUACUGACGCUGAGGCACGAAAGUGCGGGGAUCGAACAGG